rnacentral:rRNA from 1 species
UACGGAGGGUGCAAGCGUUAUCCGGAUUUACUGGGUUUAAAGGGUGCGUAGGUGGGUCUGUAAGUCAGUGGUGAAAUCUCCGGGCUUAACCCGGAAACUGCCAUUGAUACUAUAGGUCUUGAAUAUCCUGGAGGUGAGCGGAAUAUGUCAUGUAGCGGAUGAAAUGCUUAGAUAUGACAUAGAACACCGAUGGCGAAGGCAGCCCCCUGGGCUAACACUGACGCUCAGGCACGAAAGCGUGGGGAGCAAACAGG